AUUGAACGCUGGCGGCAGGCCUAACACAUGCAAGUCGAGCGGAUGAAGGGAGCUUGCUCCUGGAUUCAGCGGCGGACGGGUGAGUAAUGCCUAGGAAUCUGCCCGGUAGUGGGGGAUAACGUCCGGAGACGGGCGCUGAUACCGCAUACGUCCUGAGGGAGAAAGAGGGGGAUCUUCGGACCUCACGCUAUCAGAUGAGCCUAGGUCGGAUUAGCUAGUUGGUGGGGUAAAGGCCUACCAAGGCGACCAUCCGUAACUGGUCUGAGAGGCUGAUCACUCACACUGGAACUGAGACACGGUCCAGACUCCUACGGGAGGCAGCAGUGGGGAAUAUUGGACAAUGGGCGAAAGCCUGAUCCAGCCAUGCCGCGUGUGUGAAGAAGGUCUUCGGAUUGUAAAGCACUUUAAGUUGGGAGGAAGGGCAGUAAGUUAAUACCUUGCUGUUUUGACGGUACCAACAGAAUAAGCACCGGCUAACUUCGUG
rnacentral:rRNA from 1 species